rnacentral:rRNA from 1 species
UUGACGCUGAGGUUGGUACUUGUACCGACUGGAUGAGCAGCGAACGGGUGAGUAACGCGUGGGGAAUCUGCCUUUGAGCGGGGGACAACAUUUGGAAACGAAUGCUAAUACCGCAUAAAAACUUUAAACACAAGUUUUAAGUUUGAAAGAUGCAAUUGCAUCACUCAAAGAUGAUCCCGCGUUGUAUUAGCUAGUUGGUGAGGUAAAGGCUCACCAAGGCGAUGAUACAUAGCCGACCUGAGAGGGUGAUCGGCCACAUUGGGACUGAGACACGGCCCAAACUCCUACGGGAGGCAGCAGUAGGGAAUCUUCGGCAAUGGACGAAAGUCUGACCGAGCAACGCCGCGUGAGUGAAGAAGGUUUUCGGAUCGUAAAACUCUGUUGGUAGAGAANAACGUUGGUGAGAGUGGAAAGCUCAUCAAGUGACGGUAACUACCCAGAAAGGGACGGCUAACUNCGUGCCAGCAGCCGCGGUANACGUAGGUCCCGAGCGUUGUCCGGAUUUAUUGGGCGUAAAGCGAGCCCAGGUGGUUUAUUAAGUCUGGUGUAAAAGGCAGUGGCUCANCCAUUGUAUGCU